rnacentral:rRNA from 1 species
UACGAAGGGUGCAAGCGUUAAUCGGAAUUACUGGGCGUAAAGGGUGCGUAGGCGGUUAGUUAAGUCUGUUGUGAAAUCCCCGGGCUCAACCUGGGAACUGCGUUUGAAACUACAAGGCUAGAGUGUGGCAGAGGGGGGUGGAAUUCCACGUGUAGCAGUGAAAUGCGUAGAGAUGUGGAGGAACACCGAUGGCGAAGGCAGCCCCCUGGGUCAAGACUGACGCUCAUGCACGAAAGCGUGGGGAGCAAACAGG